GAUGUCCCUGUGAUUCUUAACCAAAGCAUGUUUGUGUGACGCAUGCCCAUGCUCUUGUGACCAAAGUGUGUUAGCUUAAGUUAUCAUUCCACCCUAGGAACCCUCUUAUGCCCUCUAAAUCCUACAUGUGGUGACAAAAACCCAGCAGAUCUCCCACCUCACCAUGCCCAAGGAUUUUCAAAGGUUUUCUCAGUCAUGUGACGUUUGUUCCGUGCUCAUCUAAGAACACCUAGAAGAAGUGGUGUUUGAAGGAGUCUACUCCAGUGGCUGCUGAUCAAGUGGAGGAGCCAUCUAACUGUGUAUUGGGUAGAGGGUUCUAGAGCCUCUUCUCUGCAACAAAGGCAAGCCCCGGUGCAUUUGCCCCUUCCUUGUAUUUUUAAAAAAGACUUUUAUACACUUAAGUCUAGUGAAAUGUGCAUUAAGUUUAUAGGAAUUGCUUGGAAACUAUUUGAUGCAUCGCUUACCUUGAUAUCCAUGCCUUUAUAGAUACUUCUGAUGGAGUAUCAAAAUAUGAUUUACAAAAAAAAUGCUUAGCCCUGCUUAGAUCUUGUGGAUAGAGGUUGCCCUUUGCAAUAAUGCCUAGCUCAGGGGUUAUCCCGAGGAAGGAUGACUUCUACCUGCAAGAAUAUUUUCAUUGGGAGCAUGGUGUGAUCUUACUGCAAAGUUCACUAUAAUGCUCUUUUCAUCCUAAGGAACACAAAACAAUCCUAAGGGUGGAAGUACUUAACUCGAGACUUGGGCUAGGAACAGGUGAUGCUCCACCCAGGUUAAUUAAGGAUUGGAUGCGUAUGUAGGCCUAUAUGAUCAAGGACUAUUUUAACUGGCCACAUGCCGUGGAUAUGGGACAGGGUAAGCUUGAACCUAACUAUUCCAUACGUGAAAAGAUAACCGCGCACUGGGCGUGGGAGAUGGUGGGAGUAGCGUGUACCCUCCUGGCUAGAGGCUGGACGGAGGAGUAUUGUGCUCCCAGGUAGCGCGGACCGGUUCACGUUGUGGAGGAUCUAUGGGAACGGUUGACAUAUGCAAGGGUUAAGUGCUACAUAUGUCGUGUGGUUAGAGAUCCUCAACUGAGUAAAUCGAUUUGGAUCGCCGUUAUAUCCCCGGAUAGUGAAGACUUGAUCUCUGACCUACAACCUAAGUCAGGAUGUGAACAUUAUGAAUAAAAAUGAUGUUGUAUUGAUGAGAUGGUGAAAUUAGACUAGAUGCAAACAGAGUCUAUUAAUAUUUAAUCUGGCGUUAAAAUGUUGAAAGUAAGGACUCACUUUAGUAGGCUAUUUCUGCAAAAGUACCUAAGUUGAUUCUUGCUAAAGCCUUUUCCUUGAUUCCUAUUUAACCAGCAUAUCCUUGAGAGUCAUUUUUCCUUAGUCGGGUAAGACUUGCGAAAGUACACUUCGUACUCAGGGUUUUCGAACCCAUGUUGUUGUAGGUGAUGAGGAGUACUCUAGGUGUUCCUGUGGCUGGAGGGCGUUUCCAGUUCUGGAAGAGGAUUAGUUAGGCUUGUGUAUAAGUUUUGGAGGGUUCCUACCUUCCUGCUAUUGUAAUAAGUUAUGCACUUUGAGUAUAUCAGGACUUGUAAUAAAUGUAACUCUUCCUAUGUAAUAAACUUCAGUUUUAGAAAUGAAAAGAAUGUUUUAUAAA